AGCGAACGCUGGCGGCAGGCUUAACACAUGCAAGUCGAGCGGACCUUUCGGGGUCAGCGGCGGACGGGUGAGUAACGCGUGGGAACGUGCCUUCCGGUUCGGAAUAACCCUGGGAAACUAGGGCUAAUACCGGAUACGCCCUUAUGGGGAAAGGUUUACUGCCGGAAGAUCGGCCCGCGUCUGAUUAGCUAGUUGGUGGGGUAACGGCCUACCAAGGCGACGAUCAGUAGCUGGUCUGAGAGGAUGAUCAGCCACACUGGGACUGAGACACGGCCCAGACUCCUACGGGAGGCAGCAGUGGGGAAUAUUGGACAAUGGGCGCAAGCCUGAUCCAGCCAUGCCGCGUGAGUGAUGAAGGCCUUAGGGUUGCAAAGCUCUUUUAUCCGGGACGAUAAUGACGGUACCGGAGGAAUAAGCCCCGGCUAACUUCGUG
rnacentral:rRNA from 1 species